CUCUUGACAUCCACGGAAUUUAGCAGAGAUGCUUUAGUGCCUUCGGGAACCGUGAGACAGGUGCUGCAUGGCUGUCGUCAGCUCGUGUUGUGAAAUGUUGGGUUAAGUCCCGNAACGAGCGCAACCCUUAUCCUUUGUUGCCAGCGGUUCGGCCGGGAACUCAAAGGAGACUGCCAGUGAUAAACUGGAGGAAGGUGGGGAUGACGUCAAGUCAUCAUGGCCCUUACGAGUAGGGCUACACACGUGCUACAAUGGCGUAUACAAAGAGAAGCGACCUCGCGAGAGCAAGCGGACCUCAUAAAGUACGUCGUAGUCCGGAUUGGAGUCUGCAACUCGACUCCAUGAAGUCGGAAUCGCUAGUAAUCGUGGAUCAGAAUGCUACGGUGAAUACGUUCCCGGGCCUUGUACACACCGCCCGUCACACCAUGGGAGUGGGUUGCAAAAGAAGUAGGUAGCUUAACCUUCGGGAGGGCGCUUACCACUUUGUGAUUCAUGACUGGGGUGAAGUCGUAACAAGGUAGGCGUAGAUGA
rnacentral:rRNA from 1 species